GACAGUGUGGUGUAGUAGUUUGAACGUGGGACUAGGACUCAGGAGAUUGGAGUUCGAUUCCCUGCUCAGCCA